rnacentral:rRNA from 1 species
GACGAACGCUGGCGGCGUGCUUAACACAUGCAAGUCGAGCGGUAAGGCCCUUUCGGGGGUACACGAGCGGCGAACGGGUGAGUAACACGUGGGUGACCUGCCCUCAGCUCUGGGAUAAGCCUGGGAAACCGGGUCUAAUACUGGAUAUGACUCCAUGACACAUGUUGUGGGGUGGAAAGCCCUGUGCGGCUGAGGAUGGGCCCGCGGCCUAUCAGCUUGUUGGUGGGGUNAGGCCUACCAAGGCGACGACGGGUANCCGGCCUGAGAGGGCGACCGGCCACACUGGGACUGAGACACGGCCCAGACUCCUACGGGAGGCAGCAGUGGGGAAUCUUGCGCAAUGGGCGAAAGCCUGACGCAGCGACGCCGCGUGAGGGAU